rnacentral:rRNA from 1 species
AAUAGAUACCCGGUAGUCCACGCCGUAAACGAUGGAUGCUAGCCGUUGGUGGGUUUACCCUUCAGUGGCGCAGCUAACGCAUUAAGCAUCCCGCCUGGGGAGUACGGUCGCAAGAUUAAAAUUCAAAGGAAUUGACGGGGGCCCGCACAAGCGGUGGAGCAUGUGGUUCAAUUCGAAGCAACGCGCAGAACCUUACCAGCCUUUGACAUCCCGGUCGCGAGCACCAGAGAUGGAGCUCUUCAGUUCGGCUGGACCGGAGACAGGUGCUGCAUGGCUGUCGUCAGCUCGUGUCGUGAGAUGUUGGGUUAAGUCCCGCAACGAGCGCAACCCUCGCCCUUAGUUGCCAGCAUUCAGUUGGGCACUCUAAGGUGACUGCCGGUGACAAACCGGAGGAAGGUGGGGAUGACGUCAAAUCAUCAUGCCCCUUAUGACCUGGGCUACACACGUGCUACGAUGGAUGGUACAAAGGGCAGCAAAACCGCGAGGUCGAGCCAAUCCCAUAAAACCCGAUUCUCAGUUCGG